UACGGAGGAUCCAAGCGUUAUCCGGAAUCAUUGGGUUUAAAGGGUCCGUAGGCGGUUUUAUAAGUCAGUGGUGAAAUCCGGCAGCUCAACUGUCGAACUGCCAUUGUAUACUGUAGGACUUGAAUUAUUGUGAAGUAACUAGAAUAUGUAGUGUAGCGGUGAAAUGCUUAGAUAUUACAUGGAAUACCAAUUGCGAAGGCAGGUUACUAACACUACAUUGACGCUGAUGGACGAAAGCGUGGGGAGCGAACAGG
rnacentral:rRNA from 1 species